rnacentral:tRNA from 1 species
GGCCCUAUCGUCUAGCGGCUAGGACGCGACCCUCUCACGGUCGAAACCGGGGUUCAAUUCCCCGUAGGGUCACAA